rnacentral:rRNA from 1 species
GAUGAACGCUAGCUACAGGCUUAACACAUGCAAGUCGAGGGGAAACGGCAUCGAAAGCUUGCUUUUGAUGGGCGUCGACCGGCGCACGGGUGAGUAACGCGUAUCCCACCUGCCCAUCACUUGGGAAUAACCUUGCGAAAGUAAGACUAAUGCCUAAUGACAUCCCACGAAGGCAUCCGAAUGGGAUUAAAUAUUUAUCGGUGAUGGAUGGGGAUGCGUCUGAUUAGCUUGUUGGCGGGGUGACGGCCCACCAAGGCAACGAUCAGUAGGGGUUCUGAGAGGAAGGUCCCCCAGAUUGGAGCUGAGACACGGUCCAAACUCCUACGGGAGGGAGCAGUGAGGAAUAUUGGGCAAUGAGCGAGGGCCUGAACCAGCCAAGUAGCGUGCAGGAUGACGGCCCUAUGGGUUGUAAACUGCUUUUAUAAGGGAAUAAAGUGGGUCACGUGUGACUUUUUGCAUGUACCUUAUGAAUAAGGACCGGCUAAUUCCGUG